rnacentral:rRNA from 1 species
AGUGAACGCUGGCGGUAGGCCUAACACAUGCAAGUCGAACGGCAGCACAGUAAGAGCUUGCUCUUACGGGUGGCGAGUGGCGGACGGGUGAGGAAUACAUCGGAAUCUACUUUUUCGUGGGGGAUAACGUAGGGAAACUUACGCUAAUACCGCAUACGACCUACGGGUGAAAGCAGGGGAUCUUCGGACCUUGCGCGAUUGAAUGAGCCGAUGUCGGAUUAGCUAGUUGGCGGGGUAAAGGCCCACCAAGGCGACGAUCCGUAGCUGGUCUGAGAGGAUGAGCCGGCAAAAUGGGACGGGGGCACGGGUCGGACCUCGAGGGGGGGGCGGAGGGGGGAAUUGUGGGAAAGGGGGGGAAGCCUGGUCCCGCCAUGCCGGGGGGGGGAAGGAGGCCUUGGGGUUGGAAAGCCCUUUUGGUGGGAAAAAAAAGGAGGAGGGUAAAGCCCCGGUGUUUGGGCGGUACCCAAAGAAUAAGCACCGGCUAACUUUG